GACUUCUUCUUCUCUUCUACGGGACCAGAAGAGCCUCUUUUUGGCGCAGAAGCUUCACUUUCCUCCGUUGCAACCGUAUCCUGACCCGUAGACCCGGCUAAAGAAACAGGGUCGGAUCCCAGAAGAUACCUAGUUGAACCAGGAGGAGUUUUGGGUGUUGCAACAACACAGCCAAAACUCUUCCUCGCUAAGCUGACGUCAUAGCUAAUCAGCUUCAUCAACGACCCUGAAUUGCUUCUCCGUCCUUUAUCUACCUGAACACUCUUUCCAUCGCCGGAGGAGGAGGGUACUCUCGUAAUUUUCGAAAGCUGACGGUAGGGAGCAACGUAGUCGUCUCCGGAGGAACACGGUGCCGUGAAAGAUCUACGACCAUCUUUGAUAAUCGGGUUAUGAC